rnacentral:rRNA from 1 species
UACGAAGGGGGCUAGCGUUGCUCGGAAUUACUGGGCGUAAAGCGCACGUAGGCGGCUUGUUAAGUCAGGGGUGAAAUCCUGGAGCUCAACUCCAGAACUGCCUUUGAUACUGGCGAGCUUGAGUUCGGGAGAGGUGAGUGGAACUGCGAGUGUAGAGGUGGAAUUCGUAGAUAUUAGGAAGAACACCAGUGGCGAAGGCGGCUUACUGGUCCGGUACUGACGCUGAGGUGCGAAAGCGUGGGGAGCAAACAGGG